GCUGGUGGUGUAGUGGUAGCACGCAUUCCCGGCAUGGAUGAAGCGCAGGUUCGACUCCCGUCUGAGGUC